GUGCAGCAGUCGAGAAUUUUUCUCAAUGGGGAAACCCUGAUGGAGCGACGCCGCGUGGAGGAUGAAGGCCCUCGGGUCGUAAACUCCUGUCAUGCGGGAACAAGAAAGUGAUAGUACCGCAAGAGGAAGAGACGGCUAACUCUGUGCCAGCAGCCGCGGUAAUACAGAGGUCUCAAGCGUUAUUCGGAUUCAUUGGGCGUAAAGGGUGCGUAGGUGGCGAUGUAAGUCUGGUGUGAAAUCUCGGAGCUUAACUCCGAAACUGCAUUGGAUACUGCGUUGCUUGAGGAUUGUAGAGGAGAGUGGAAUUCACGGUGUAGCAGUGAAAUGCGUAGAUAUCGUGAGGAAGACCAGUUGCGAAGGCGACUCUCUGGGCAAUUCCUGACACUGAGGCACGAAGGCCAGGGGAGCGAAACGGGAUUAGACUACCCCCGUAGU
rnacentral:rRNA from 1 species